rnacentral:ncRNA from 1 species
ACUAUUGCACUGAUUAGGAGUAGUAAUAUUCAUCUUAAUUUUCAGAGAGCUGCAGUUUGGUGUAAUGCAGUAGUUAAGAACUAUGAACUUGCCUAGGAGCUUACUUGUUAGAAGCAAGUACGGAUUAAACCGUUAUAUUUUAAAGUGAGGCAAUAUGCCUAAUUAGAGUGGUACCGCGGAAUUAUAAGUUUUCGUCUCUUUA